AUAGACUCCCCAGAAGCUUUAAAAACAUUCAAAGAAAGAAAUCCACAGAGAGACCCAGGUGUCAGUUAUGACAUGGGGCAAAAUGAAGAAAACAGGACUUGGGAAAACAGAGAUCUACUGAAGGGAUAUAGCGAUUCUUUAGAGUUGUUUUUAGGCUACGCAUUAAAGGGUUUCCCAAGAUUUUACCCUGGUCUCUUUGCCAGCUGCUCUGCUUGUCAGUGAAGCUGUUUGAUUUCUCUCUUUGUUUCUUGUUCGAACAAAAAGGACACUCAAUACAGACAUGACAUUUUGAAAACUAAACUCACAUCUUUUUCACCCUAACUUCAUUGUUGUUUUGGCCUACUUUCUCUUAGACACUUUCUUGAGGGUUCAGGCUAAAUGUGGUCUUUCAAACUUUCAAACUCCCUUGAGUACCUCUUUCUGUGAUUCCGUCUCCUCCUAGUGAUCAUUAAUGGUCUGCAACUGCUUCUUUAUUUGUGGGGUAUCUUGGGACUUUUGCUUCUUCAGUUUUCUACUUUUUAUCAUUAAAAAUCCCCCCCCCUUUAUUAGAGACUGAUUUAGGAAAAGAAAGGGAUGGAACUUAAAUGAAUGAACUGCUGUUUGAUUGCAGAUUGAAAUUAGUGGCCAAGUUUUUGUUUUUUGUUGAUUUAGUAGACUUUUAUAAACCAAAACUAACUGUAUGAUUCUCAUUGGAAGUUAUGUUGAAAUAUAAGAUAUGAAGAGAGUACCAAUUCACAAAGCCCUGGACUGUUCUAACCCUAGGGAAUACUCACUGGUGGCUGUGUGGGUGUGCCUGCCAGGCUGGGAAGGGAUCUAGCAUAAUGGUGAGUUUCGUAACACACCAGCCCAGGUCCAACUGCUUGAGUAGGAAGAUUAGAGGUGGGUGGUUAGUUUUGUGGCCUCCUGGAUCUGUUCCUGAAGAGAGCAGGUAAGUUCAGGAAUGGAGAAGUCUAGGUUUUAAGUUAGAAAUGUCAAGCAGGACUUCGAGACCUCUGAAAUAAAGAUGUGUCCUAAGGAAUUAACACACAAACCUGAUGGAAGCAAUCAUAAGAGAGAAAUGAAUGGGGUUAAAAUCACAGGGCCACAUGACAAAUUAUGUCUGGCUAUGCAAGUGGGUUAAAUCACUUCCUAAGAUGUUGCCAACAGCACAAAUAUCUGUAUUCAGCAUCACAUGCAACCAAAGAAUUAACCAAACUCUUCAAGUUUCUUCCCCCUUGGAAUAAUAAUUCCUGCUAUUAUGGUGUUUCCACUAAGGUACUGGAGAUCCAGGGCAAAGUCUAAUUGAGGUGGACUCCAAUGGCCUGCAGUGUGGGCAGCAUUAAGCGGGUACCCGAAUGUGGUGGGGGAGGACUGUGAAGCUCUACUUUCUGUGCAACUGUUAGGGAAGUCCUGUUGCCAGCCCUCCUCAAACAUCAUUUUCUGCUCAUGAAUAUUGUCUUUUAUACCAAUAGAGGUGGGAGAGGGAACUAUUCAGAAUUCAGUCUCAAAAUAUUUUAUCCUUUUCUCUCAUUUACUUCAAAAUGUAUAUAAAGUAAAAUGCAGAACCCUCCCAAAACCAUUUCAGCCUGAAACUAAGCUCAAGCUCUUUAGCUGGACUAUGGGGUCCUCAUGGGCAGAAGGGUUCGAUAGAGGAAAUGAAUUAUAGGGGGAUGCUUUUCUUUGAUUUACCAGAGUUCAGUAGAAACAUCUGGGUUACUUGCCGUUAGAUUUUCUGAAGGGAGGGUUCAGCCAUUGCUACCAUAGCUCUUAGUACCAUAAGGUUUAUCUGAAUCUCUGAAUAUCUAUGAUCUUGCAAGAUCCAAAUUUCCCUUCAAGCUGAUAUUUGUCUUUCAUUUGUUUCCUAAUUAGCAUUCAGGUUUCAGCCCAAGAGUGCACUGCCAGAGGCAUAACACCUCCCUUGGUGAGGACCUUUGUUGGCAUCACUCUAAAAUGAAUUCAUAGGAUUGUUCUCUGAUUUUCAACUUUGCUUUGUGGUACAAGGUCUGUGAAUGUUUAGUCGACAAUACGUGUGCGCCUCUCUCAUUUCCUGUUUUUUAAGGGCUGCACUUAAUUUAUUUGAAAGGGUGGAAUAUUUUAAAUUACAAUUCAGCAGUUUUACUAAGGAAGGCUGUAAAACACAAUGAGCAAGGAGUUUUACUUCCUCCUUCCAAUUGCUACUCCCUGUUUUGAAAUCUUGAUGUCCUCCAAUCAAUGGGAAUGACUUUAACUUACACUGUAACAUUUUUAACAGCAACCACGCCAUGGCUGGAGCUGCAGAGGGGCAUGGGAUUCCUGCACACUGUAAUUCCAUUUUUCCAGACGCCUUAUUAGUACACGGAAUGCGUCUGCCUGUGCUUGAUAUUGUUCUAUCUUGUUAAGUCCCCUCCCCCAGGCAGAGCGUUUGGAUUGGUUAAGGAAUACGGUCGCUUAGCCAAUCAAGUGAAACCUUUCUCCUGCAGCCCUAGCAACACCUGACAAUGGUCAUUGACAAACGUUAAGAGAAAACCCCUGACAAAUCCAACCGGUCCUUGAAAGUGGUCCCUGUCAAGGGCAAGCAGGGCUACUCCUACCCACAGAGCACUUUGUGAGGCCAGAGGAGUUAGUGGUUUGUGUCAGACUUGCAAAAACAGAACCUGGAUUUGGCUGCAAGUGCUUGAGUCUAGGGCCCUACUCCUAUCUGCUGUCAAUUUCAGCGAAACUGACUUUUGUAACAGGAGCAUUUUUCUGAGGGCGGCAAGAUACCUGGCUAUGUCCCCAGUGGCGCCUUUCCAAGACUUCUGGCUACACAUCUUUCACCUCCCAGCCUCGUGCUGAACCCUGUUGGGGUGCAGUUGGCCUGCCUGCCUCACCCACGGGCAUAUUGGGACACUCCUCACAGGGUGUAGUUAGACCUAAAAGAGCUCUCACCCCUCUCUGGGAGGCUUCAUGACUGAGGAAUCUGAAGGCAGAUCUGGCAGAACCUAGGGAGGGGAACGGAAUGGAGAGUAAGAAGGGGGACCUGCCAAAAACAUGCACAGACAGUUCGUAGGCAAAUGCAUGUUCCCACAAAAGACAUAAUCGCUGUGUGUGUAUGAUACCCUGCCGAAGUCCCCUUACAUGAUCAUUCCAGUUAGUCUAGCCACCUUGAAGGCAUAUUUCAAACCCUGGUUGAGUAAUCCAUUGUGCCAUGAUUAGCUGUUAAUGAAACUGAAAAUAUCUAAAUCAUCUAACAAGUAAUCUGAAUUAAUUUUUUAUGAUUACCACUUCCAGACAAGCUGGUGUCAGGACAAAGAAAGACCUGGGCAUAGAGACACAGACAUUCACACAUGCAGAUAAAACGUGUACAUACAAGCAAGUACACAGAUAAACUUAGGCCAGAGGAGCAAAGGAGGAACAAGGGGGAAAAUGAAAAAGGGGAAUGUUAAAGAGAGCCCAUGAAUUGAAGAGUGUGAAAUCUUGUGUCAGACCUGUAAAAACAGAACCUGGAUAUGGAUGCUAGGGCUUGAGUCUAGGGCCCUACUCUGAUCUGCCACCAUUUCAGUGAAACUGACUUUAGUUAUUCAAAGCCAGUGUUGGAGCUGGGGCGGGGGAUGGUCUGUGGUGGGACUCUUCAAUUCAUGGACUCUCCUUCGUGAAGUUCAUUUGGUCCUCCCCAACCCCCAGUGUCCCUUUUCCUCCUAGCAUCACCCUUCAAGGCUUGUCCUGAAUUUAAUUUUCCACUGGAGGUUGGCAUAUAGCUUAAGCAAUCCCUUGGGAGCAUAAACUGGUAAUGACUUGAAAUCUUAACCCCUAAAAGGAUAUUCAUACUUUUUAAAAAGGGGCUCAGGAAGGUGCAAAAGAAUUAAAUCUCUAAUGGCUGAAUUGUAAAUUGGGAUUAUCUUUAUUCUGGAGACUUGGUCUUGUUCAAAUAUACUUUUUGGGUAUAGAUCUCCUCUGGGCAUUCCUAAGGCCAGAAUUACAGGCAAGAAAGAGUGGUCCUGGAGAGGAGGGUGGGUUGCAGUGGGGAGAAAUCCAUCAGGUGGGUGCUCAGCAGGAGGACAGAUCCUGAAGAAGUGUGGGAGAGGCCAGGAGGCUGAACUUCCACACAGAGACAAACUAGGAGCUGGUUUUAUAAUCUUCCAUAUCUGUCCUUCAGGGAAGUUGCAAACUUUCUGGUGGCAUGAGAUGUAGUAUAUUACAAUACAGAUUACAUAACAGGUUAAAAGCUGAGUCUUACAUGGUCAUAUACAUGCACACAGGUUCUAGGUUCAAAGUCUCAAAGAAACUAUUCUGAGAGGUUAUUCUGAGAGGAUGUAAAAUCGUAGACAUUUGCCUAUUAAGGAGACAAGUAAACUAUUUUUUUCCUUUUUCAGAUUUUUCAAGUUUUUCAGGUAUGUCUGGUCAAGUUUUCUGUGGAUAUGAGCAACUAUCAAGUAUGAAGAUUAUAGAACAACAAAAAAAGCAACAUUACAUGUUUAUUUCUUGCUGUGGAAGUCAAGAGAUUUUUAUUUCCUCGUGAAAUAGAAAAUAAAAAAAUAAAAUUAACAAUGGAUAUACCAUGGUUCUUUGUAACCCGAGUGUCAUGAAGAGCUCUAUAAAAUAUCUGAAGUGCUUGAGGGAAGUUACCUUCCCUAGAGGGAAAAGGUAAAGAUUCUCACUACAGAGCUAAUAGUUUCUGCUCAACAAUUUGAAUUUCACUUAAGGAUAAACCUGAGAGCCCACAUCUGGAAGAGCAUAUUUAUCUUUAAUGUAGCAGUUUGGAGGUGGAGGCAUUCCUGGAAGAGAACAAUGCCUGAUGCAUUAUAGGCACAAAAAUAAACAUUUGUUGCCUGCCUCCAAACCAACAUUCAAAAAUACUAUCAAAGGAAGAAAACUCUAGAACCCCAUUAGAGUGGAUAUCUCCCUGCUCUUAAUCUCCAAGAUCACUGUUUCCUAUUUCCAUGGAAACUAGAAGACUUGAAAUUGCCAAAACUUGAGAGACACUUGAGAUGAAAACCA